GACGAACGCUGGCGGCGUGCCUAAUACAUGCAAGUCGAACGCAGUGGGGACGGGUGAGUAACACGUGGGUAACCUCCCAUCAGAGGGGAGAACACUUGGAAACAGGUGCUAAACCGAUACUGAUGGAGGAACCCGCGGUGCAUUAGCUAGUUGGUGAGGUAACGGCUCACCAAGGCCACGAUGCAUAGCCGCCCGGAGGGGUUGAUCGGCCACACUGGGACUGCGCCACGGCCCAGACUCCUACGGGAGGAAGCAUUAGGGAUUCUUCGGCAAUGGACGAAAGUCUAACCGGGCAACCCCGCGUGAGUGAAGAGGGUUUUCGGAUCGUAAGACUCUGUUGUUAGAGAAGCGGUAUCUAACCAGAAAGCCACGGCUAACUACGUGCCAGCAGCCGCGGUAAUAC
rnacentral:rRNA from 1 species